UUAACUAUUAUAUAGUACUCGGACGACACUGUAAGACAGGGUUUGGGGUUCUCUGGCGGGCGCGCACCAGCCGGAGCCGGUGGCCUUGCGGCGGCCCGCCAAAGCAACAAAGGCAAUGUAUACAAAGGGUGGGAGGUCUGCCCCGGAGGGCAUGAACUCUGUAAUGAUCCUUCCGCAGGUUCACCUACGGAAA
rnacentral:misc_RNA from 1 species